rnacentral:rRNA from 1 species
GGUUGAUCCUGCCAGCAAUCAUAUGCUUGUCUCAAAGAUUAAGCCAUGCAUGUCUAAGUAUAAGUGAUUAUACAACGAAACUGCGAAUGGUUCAUUAUAUCAGUAAUAAUCUACUUGACUGAAUCUGUUACUUGGAUAACUGUAGGAAUUCUAGAGCUAAUACAUGCAAAAAGGCCGGACCGGGGCAACUUGGGAAGGCCGCGUUUACUAGAUGCGAAAUCAAGGUAGGGCGCAAGUUCUACUUUUAGGGUGAUUCAUGGUAAAAAUUGACGCGAAUCGGGGGCUUACGCUC